rnacentral:RNase_P_RNA from 1 species
ACAGUGGGACGGCUUGCCGCUGGCCGAUCUCCUUCGGAGAAGAGCGAGAGGAAAGUCCGGGCAACACAGGGCACUCCGCUACCUAACAGGUAGAAGUCCGCGAGGGCUUGCACGUGCAGAAGAAAAUAACCGCCGCCUUAUUUAAAGAUAGUUUCAUAGUAGAUAUCUGGUUUUGAAAACACUGGCGGUAAGGGUGAGAAGGUGGGGCAAGAGCCCACCAGGCGUAUGGCGACAUACGUGCUGUGCACACCGGAGGUUGAAAGUUCGCGUAAACCGGCGAUGCGCCGACUGCGUCCUCACGAGGGCGCAAGGGCGAGAGAGGGCUGCCCGCCCGAGCCGGAGGGUAGAACGAUGGAGGCGUCGCGAGAGCGGCGUCCUGGAUAAAUGGCAGGCACCCGCCUCGGCGGGCACAGAACCCGGCUUACAGGCCCACUGUUUUU